CAUACUGUGAGCUCGAUGAGUAGGGCGGGACACGUGGUAUCCUGUCUGAAUAUGGGGGGACCAUCCUCCAAGGCUAAAUACUCCUGACUGACCGAUAGUGAACCAGUACCGUGAGGGAAAGGCGAAAAGAACCCCGGCGAGGGGAGUGAAAAAGAACCUGAAACCGUGUACGUACAAGCAGUGGGAGCACGCUUAGGCGUGUGACUGCGUACCUUUUGUAUAAUGGGUCAGCGACUUAUAUUCUGUAGCAAGGUUAACCGAAUAGGGGAGCCGAAGGGAAACCGAGUCUUAACUGGGCGUUAAGUUGCAGGGUAUAGACCCGAAACCCGGUGAUCUAGCCAUGGGCAGGUUGAAGGUUGGGUAACACUAACUGGAGGACCGAACCGACUAAUGUUGAAAAAUUAGCGGAUGACUUGUGGCUGGGGGUGAAAGGCCAAUCAAACCGGGAGAUAGCUGGUUCUCCCCGAAAGCUAUUUAGGUAGCGCCUCGUGAAUUCAUCUCCGGGGGUAGAGCACUGUUUCGGCAAGGGGGUCAUCCCGACUUACCAACCCGAUGCAAACUGCGAAUACCGGAGAAUGUUAUCACGGGAGACACACGGCGGGUGCUAACGUCCGUCGUGAAGAGGGAAACAACCCAGACCGCCAGCUAAGGUCCCAAAGUCAUGGUUAAGUGGGAAACGAUGUGGGAAGGCCCAGACAGCCAGGAUGUUGGCUUAGAAGCAGCCAUCAUUUAAAGAAAGCGUAAUAGCUCACUGGUCGAGUCGGCCUGCGCGGAAGAUGUAACGGGGCUAAACCAUGCACCGAAGCUGCGGCAGCGACGCUUAUGCGUUGUUGGGUAGGGGAGCGUUCUGUAAGCCUGUGAAGGUGUGCUGUGAGGUAUGCUGGAGGUAUCAGAAGUGCGAAUGCUGACAUAAGUAACGAUAAAGCGGGUGAAAAGCCCGCUCGCCGGAAGACCAAGGGUUCCUGUCCAACGUUAAUCGGGGCAGGGUGAGUCGACCCCUAAGGCGAGGCCGAAAGGCGUAGUCGAUGGGAAACAGGUUAAUAUUCCUGUACUUGGUGUUACUGCGAAGGGGGGACGGAGAAGGCUAUGUUGGCCGGGCGACGGUUGUCCCGGUUUAAGCGUGUAGGCUGGUUUUCCAGGCAAAUCCGGAAAAUCAAGGCCGAGGCGUGAUGACGAGGCACUACGGUGCUGAAGCAACAAAUGCCCUGCUUCCAGGAAAAGCCUCUAAGCAUCAGGUAACAUCAAAUCGUACCCCAAACCGACACAGGUGGUCAGGUAGAGAAUACCAAGGCGCUUGAGAGAACUCGGGUGAAGGAACUAGGCAAAAUGGUGCCGUAACUUCGGGAGAAGGCACGCUGAUACGUAGGUGAAGCGACUUGCUCGUGGAGCUGAAAUCAGUCGAAGAUACCAGCUGGCUGCAACUGUUUAUUAAAAACACAGCACUGUGCAAACACGAAAGUGGACGUAUACGGUGUGACGCCUGCCCGGUGCCGGAAGGUUAAUUGAUGGGGUUAGCGCAAGCGAAGCUCUUGAUCGAAGCCCCGGUAAACGGCGGCCGUAACUAUAACGGUCCUAAGGUAGCGAAAUUCCUUGUCGGGUAAGUUCCGACCUGCACGAAUGGCGUAAUGAUGGCCAGGCUGUCUCCACCCGAGACUCAGUGAAAUUGAACUCGCUGUGAAGAUGCAGUGUACCCGCGGCAAGACGGAAAGACCCCGUGAACCUUUACUAUAGCU
rnacentral:rRNA from 1 species